GGAGUACAUGACAAACAAACAAGGAAAUGCAAAAAAUAUUAUGGACAAGCCCUAUGCGGCAAAAUAGGAAAGGAUAAUACAGAGUGGGUGGUUAAAUUACUCUAAAUUGUUUGAUCAGAGAAAGGUCUUUAUGAGGCAGCAUUUAAAUAGAGAUCUGAAGGAAAAAGAAUCAGUCCUGCAAAGAUCAGCAGAACAAUCCAGGAAGAAAGAACAGCUAAUGGAAUAUGAGCCUGGAAAAGAGAAAGGCCUCUGUGGCUAGAAUAGCACUCUCUAAUAGAAAUAUAAUGUGAGCCAUGUAUGUAAUUUUUAAUUUUCUAGUAGCUUCAAUGAACAAAGUACAAAAUAAAUAGGUAAACUUAAUUUUAACAAAAUAUUUUAUUUAACCCAAUAUAUCCAAAAUGUUAUCAUAAACCUGUAAAUAUAAAAAUUAUUAACGAGAUAAUAUUAUUAUCUGAGAUAAUAUUACAUGAUUUUUCAUAAGUCUGAAAUUCAAGGUAUAUUUUAUACUCACAGCACAUCUCAAUUUGGACUAGCCACAUUUCAAGGAUUCAACAGCUCCUAAGACUAGUGGCUAGCUUACUGGAUAGCACAGGGCUAGAGCAUAGUAGGCAAAGGGGACAGGGAAACUCAAUGAGGUGGAGAGGCAGGCAGGCACCAGGUCACAUUCAGCUUCAGACAACAAAGUUAAGGAACUGGAUUUCAUUUUAAUUGAAAUGAGAAUAGACUGCAGUUUUUUAACAGGUAAUCAUACAGAAGUUCUGAAAAGAUCAUGCUGUGGUGAAUGAAUUAUUGGGGAGCACCAAGAGAAGCAGAGAGACCAGGUAGGAGGCUGCUGUGGUAGUGCAGGUGAAAGACAAUAGUAGCUCGGCUUCUGGUGGUUAGUAAAGGGAGGGGGAAAUAAAUGGAUAGAUACGGAUAUGUUUUGAAAGUAUAGCUAACAGGACUUGCUGGUGGACUGGAUAGAGGGAGAGGGAAAAAAGCAGCAAGGAUAAUGACUUCUGGAAAAAUUAUUUGAGAUAUUUGUUGUUGUGGGUAUAACAGGAAGCCUUCAUCCGAGGCAAUAUGAACUAUGUCACACCAUGGGCAAAAUAACCACAUUAAUAGAUAUUUACAACGAUUCUAACUAAUAAAUAAAUUCAUCAUUUACUUAAUGAUAAAACCAUCUCUAUAAAAUUUGGCUUCUUACUUCUUCAGUGUAAAACAACAAUAACACCUACAGUAAGAUAUUUUGAAAUUCAAACUACAACAGGCAGAAUUAAAGAAAAUAGCAUCAAGUUUAAAAUGGCAAGGAAGGUGGUCAUAUUUAUUUACUUUAAACCAAACAAUCUUAGAGCGGUGAAGGAAACUUUAUAAACUAACCAUCUGAUCCAAUCCUAUUUUACAUACAAGGAAAUGGAAACUUAGAGAAGUAAUUAGUCCAAGGUUUCAUGGGAAAUCAGGAAAAAGAUCCAAUUAAACUGAACUGGAUUCCCACUCAGGUUGGGAAUGUAUCUCUCAUUUCUAUAAACCCAUUGCCUACCAUAAUGCCGGGAAUACUGCAGAGAUCAAAAGUUUUUGUUUAAUGAAUGAAUAAGAACAAUAAAAACAAACAAAAACGGGCCUUUAGUGGCUCUCUUAGAAAUAAGACUGUAUAUAACAUAUAUUCGAACAGCAACUUUAAAGCCAAAGAAUGCCACAGGAAAAUACAUAAUGUAUCUGAAUCUCAUAUGAAUCAAUCUUGACAUGAAUAAGCAUAAGAAACCUCUUUUUCUAUAAAUAAUGUACUGACCUAAAAGUUGGAAGAUGUUUGUUUCUUUUUUAUUUGUAAUAAUUUACUAUUUUGCAUCUCAGAAAAAUGUCCUUGCAGGUAACAGUCUGCCGAAACAGCACUUAGCAAGUCCCACUAAGCCAACAACAUAAUGAAUUCUUGUGAAGUAUCAAGUACAUAAAACAGUCACUCCUACAAUGAUAGUGUAGCCCAUGAAAUAAGUAAUACCUGAUUUGGUAGAAUCACUGUUACUCUCUAGACACUCAGGUACUAAAAUCAUGUGGAAAUGAUAAUAUAAUUUUAAAUUAAGUCACUUUUGACUCAGAAUUAGGACAAAGGCUUUCCAGUACCAGAAAAGAGAACCGCUUCCAGGCCUAGUGUUGCACAAUAUGAGACUUUUAGGCUAAGGGCAGUUUUUAGACCUUUUGUGUUAACAGCAGUUUUCUUGGCACUUUCUAGUCCUCACAGCAGUGAGCUAUAGAUCUCAAACUGCUAUAAUUGUCAACCCUAUUGUUAAUAACAGGAGACAGACAAGAACCAUUGACUACCAUAAAAUUAAAGGCCUAAUCUUUUACCAGCAUCUAAUGCCAACAUCUUCCAAAGGGGCUGAUCCACUUCACAUAACUAAAAUAUGAGUGGAAUAAAUUUACCACAGUCACAAAGGAGCAGACCUUGGCAUUGCAAGGUUUAAAGCAAAGAUCUUCUGUUCUUUGAAUUUAGAUAGAAAGGGAAAUUGCAUAUGGGCCAGAGCUCAUUGCUGUUUACUAAGAGACCACACCCCUCCCAUCAUAGCUUUUGUAGUUCAGGGCCAGACAAUAAAGAAGGGAAUUACCAGCUAGAAGAAGGUUUCAAACCUUUCUUUAGAUAUCUGAACUGCCUUAGGUCCUCAUACAUAAAUUCUGUAGAAGGGAAAUAAAUUACUUUGUAUAAUAUCAGAAUAUCAGUAAGCCGAACUACACUGUUGCUAUUUUUCUUUAAUAAAUAAGAAAGGAACAAAGAAAAAGAGGGAAAGAAGGAAACAAAAAAAAAGAGGAAAAGCAAUCAGGAGGAAUCCUGAUGUCAAUAUUUAAUAGUGCACAAAAUAUGGUAAGUGGAGGAUUAAACAAAGGAAUCAAAAUAAUCUUACAGAACAAUCUUGCUCUUUAAGAUAAAAGCUUUUCUCCAUAUUUGUGGCAGAACUGAACUAAAGGAAACAUUUUUUUUCUUUCAUGGUUUCGUGUUUCCACAAACUAAAAAAGAGAACUACCAAGAAAAAAUUACAUUAUUUCUAUUCUUUCCAUAUUUGUUCAGAGAAAUAGACAAAAACCAGUCUGCCACUGUCCCAUCUAGCACCGGUUUUGUCAUAAGGCUCUUAAGGAGCUUAAAAGUAACCAGAUUUAAACAAUAGAUACGCUGCCCAUUUUAUUUACAAACAUGUUGGGCCCAAUUCAUCUAUUUUCCCUGACAUCCUAAAUUAUUAGAGAAAAUGGCAUAAUAAUUAAAUGCCACAUUUCUUGAAGCUGAAUGACAUUUUCUCCCACCUCCCAAUUUUUGUUUUUCUAGAAACAGUAAACAAUGUAAGUCAGGUCACAGCAGAAAGGUCAUACACUACCAUUUUAAAGCUCUAAUGUCCAAAUUUAGUGAAGUAAAGGGACUUGACCUAAAGAUACAGUUACCAUAGUUUAUAUGUGUUCAUUCAGAUGACAGUUUUUUUCACGUCAUCUCUAAAGGUUAGAGAAAGAGGGCUCCUGGUUUAAAAUAAAUACUUACUUAAAUUAAUAUACUUCAGACAGUGGGGUUUAAUGUAUAGAAUUAAAGUAUCUUGCCUGAGAAUGGUCAGAAAUCUUUGUCUCUGCAUGGGCUAAGUUAGUUAAACAAUGAACUUUCCAUAUCUCCAAAUUGAGAGACUGCCUGAAGAUGAUCUUUAAAAUCCUUCUCCACUCCAAAAUCCAGUCACCAAAAUACAGUAUUUUAUUUAAAUAUGGAGAAAAAAAGAUCUUGUUUUGGCUGUUAUUUUCUCAGUCUUUAUGUAACGUUCUACAAUAUUGGUCAUAUUUGGUGGCGGGUUGGGGGGAUGAGUUUAUUUCCCAUCCAUCCUGGCCCAACUAAUUUUAGACCCUAAUAUGAAAACACCAUGUUUAAUUUGUAACACCUAUGUCUAGUCACAGAAACACUGUAAAGCCCAAAUUUAGCUGCGAAGCUCCACUGAAAGAAAAAGCAAAAGAAAAGAAGUACACAGUGUUAAGCAUACAAUGCUUAACAUUUUAUACAAAAUGAAAAUGCACUGACUUUUUACCUUUCAUGACACUUUCAUCUAUGCUGUUUCUCAUCUAUGCUGCUUCUCAUAAUUUUGUGUAAAUUUAAAAACUUUUCUCCUGUUUUCUGCUUAGGUUCUUAUUGUGAUAGACAGUAUACAUACCAUAGAACUACUUUCCAAAAAUUUCACGUGGCCAUCAACAAUGUCACUUAUCAAGCUCUAAAUUUCUGGAAUGAUGUUGACCAGUAGCAGGCUUUCUAAAAAUGCUUUCUAGAUCACAUCUACCUUUGUGACAGUAUCGUUAAAUAAGUUGUAUCAAGGGGAACAUGCCAGAAUGUUUCACAAAGUUUAUUGAACCUAGCAUUUACUGUUGCUAUAGAAACAAACUACCAUAGCUGAAUUUAAAAGGUUGGUACAGAAUCAAUUGGGCAGACAUGAAUAGCUCAAAUUAAGCAAUUAAGAAUUCAAGACUAUAAUGAAUGAAACUCUCCUCUGAUCCAAUAAUGGGUUAAUCCUUUCUUAAUAUCAAAUAUCUUCCAGUAGAACUCAGUAGAGUUCUGGCUGUGAACAGUUUAUGCCUUAACCUUUUGAGUGACAAUACUGUACUUGAAUACUUGAAUUCCUGUCUCUUUUAUGAAUGAGUCAUCACUAAUCCUCAAAUGAACUAUUAAUUCUAAUAAAUAUGGUCCAGAUGUUAUAAUACUUUACUGGUGGAUUAAUAGGCUUUCCCCAAACCUUUUACCUUAUGCUCUAAUCAUUUACAGGCAUUUUGCGGAUGAAGGCUUUAAUGCUCCGGGAAGAACUAACUAGAGAACUAACUGCCUUACAGAAAACCAUUGGGAGGAAACGUCUAUAAAUCUGAAAACAAGAACAAAUUUUAAAAGUUGGAAAAAAAAAAAAAAAAAAAGGAGAUAUGUGAGCUUCAAAGUUGGAAGAAAUUAAGCAAUAUGCUUUGGAAUCUAUGGUGAUCUAUAGAAAGGUAAAGCGUUUCUGGACUCACCCUGACUGAUGGAAAGACAGACUGCCUGCCAGGACACUACCCUGCUGUACCCAGUCUUAAGUAUAAUCAAGAUCUCAUUUUUUACUGUCAAUGCAAGCCACAUUUUCCUAUUAGGAAAAUAUGAAUGAAACAAAGUGCUCUUCAAGAGCAAACCCUGAAUUAUACUUUGGGUUAUUCUCUGUUCCUGAAAAGGAUUUUGCGUUUAACCGAUAGUCUCCAAAUUUUAAUGACAGUAUAUAGAUAGCUUGGUGUAGACAUACAGGUCAAUACAAAUGGUGAAAAGGCAAUUUGCCAUUGAAGAAUAUGUUUGCUUUAAGUAAAGAUCAAUAUACUAAGAAAGCUAUACAUAUCUAGACUUCCAAAAACAGAUGGGAAUAAACCACUCAGCAAUCAGAAAAUUCAAAGAUGUCACUCUGUUCACUUCCAGAGAAAAUAGUUCAAAACUGUAUCUCAAAGUGGAUAUAAGCUAUUGUACUAGAAUUAGUCCCUGUAUGAGCAUUUGGCAUUAUAAAAUAAGGUGUUCUCAAUGAAAAGAUCACUGGUAUGUAGAUAAUGAAACUUGAAAAUAAAAAUUUAAAAAUAAAACAAAAAUUAUGUGAUAACAAA